CAAAACAGAAGGAACAGCUGGCUUAGAGAAAAAGGUUGUCACAAAAAUAAGAGCUAUUUAAUUUCUAAUUCUCUGUGACAGUGAAAAUAAUUUAAGAAAAUUGUUAGAAAGCACUAUAAUCAGCAAAGUUUUCUCUUACCUAUGUUACAAUGACAGUAACUGAUACCAGGUACAUUUGUAACCUAGGAAAAUACAGCAGUAGUGUGAAGUCAGGGCCCAUGUCAUUGUCAUUUCUUAGCAGUUUACCACACUUGUAGCAGUUAAAGCAAGAGUCUACCACAUUCUGAAAGUUCAGGGGAAAAAUCAGAACCCGGGCCUCCUUCUACAGUUUGUUUUACCAGGUGAGCAACUGUCAGACAGAAAGAAAUGGAAACUAUACCUUUAUGGAGUAGAGUGGAUUACUAUAAUCAAAAAGAUCAAGUGGGAAAUUUCAAUUAUGAAGAAACUUAACCUUGAAGAAUUGAGAAAAUGCACCUUCCUACAUUCUUGAAUGUGUAUGUGUGUAUAACACACAUAUACAGAAAGAAAGAAAGACAUUCACAACUCUUACACAACUGAGUUAGUCCUUUAGAGCAAGUCUGGUCACUACUCGUCUGGCAAAAAGAAGAAGCAGUAUCAUUUCCCUCCAUUCUAUUCAGUGUUGAUAAAAGAUUCCAUACAUAAGUGCUGAACAGUCUUAUAUUAUUCAUUUAAUGAGUAUGAGUAUGAGUCAGUGGGAGCUCCUAGGACACCAAGGUUAAACACAUCGAGCCAAGAACUAUUGAUGGAAAAACCAGAAGCUACUUCCUGGGUGUAAGUUAGGCUUGUGAUUAAAAAGAAAAAAUUAACCCUUUUAGUUUUCACCUUAAAAGUAAA